rnacentral:lncRNA from 1 species
CAGUUUUUUAAAAUUUUGAUUUAACUAUCCAAUAUUUCAAUUCUUUUUAUUUGAAUCAACCAAUGGUAUUUUGGCUUCAAAAUUUGAAUGUAUUAUUUAUCUUUACAUGUUUAGUUAGUAUACUUUAUUUAAUUCUCACAACUAUAAAUAAAGUUUGAAGUCAAGUUGUCAUUGACUUACCUAAACCAAAUAAAUUGAAAGGUUGAAUAAUAAAAUUAAAAAUUUGAAAGAUAAGAUAAUCAAAUCAAAAUAGUCUAUAAUUCUGAUAAGUUCUGUAUAUUUUUAUAUUUUAGUAAAUAAGUAAAGGUCAUCCUUUGCUUCUACAUAGCACAUUUUUCAUGUUAUAUAUAAACUUGAAU